CAAGUCGCAACCAGUCACAUUCAACAAAAAAUUGUUCACAAACAAUCACAACAAACAUAUAACCACUACUAUCACAGUCUGUGCCUGCUCCACCGCAAUUACAGCCACCAUCGCCAUAAACAAACAGCCUGCACUACCAUCAUCAUCUGCAUACAAACAACAAAAUUUACCCAAAAUUUUCUGGCACCAAAUUGUGACCCAAUUUCCCUAAAUUGCGACCAACAAAACUCACACCACCAACAAAACUCCGGCACUAGGCUGCGAUAAAAUUUUGACAGAUCUCCCAUCGUUCGUCACUGCAGUAGCAGAGCUCACAUCACUUGCAAAACCAUACUCCAAUAGCCACCCCUUUCAUCAACAACCGCAUUUGUCACCAGUAGCCAUUCCCACCACUAUCGACUCCUCACCGACACCAAAGCAGCAACCGUACACUGCAUUCUGAUUGGCGAUGCUGCAGUGCCCAACUCUCCUUGUGCUACUGAGCCACUGCGGAACAGCACUCCCACUAUUAUUGGCGGUGCCUUGAGAUAACUCACCCGCCUGUGGCCAAAGCAGUGCUGAAAACUAAGAAAGAGGGAGAAAUAAAGGUUUGGUGAUUAUAGUUUUUCAACAGUUGUGACAAAGAGAUGAGAGAAUGAAGUUAGAUGAGAGAAAAGAGAAAAG
rnacentral:lncRNA from 1 species